rnacentral:rRNA from 1 species
GACGAACGCUGGCGGCGUGCUUAACACAUGCAAGUCGAGCGGUAAGGCCCUUUCGGGGGGUACACGAGCGGCGAACGGGUGAGUAACACGUGGGUGACCUGCCCUCAGCUCUGGGAUAAGCCUGGGAAACCGGGUCUAAUACUGGAUAUGACUCCAUGACGCAUGUUGGUGGGGUGGAAAGCCUUGCGCGGCUGAGGAUGGGCCCGCGGCCUAUCAGCUUUGUUGGUGGGGUGAGGCCUACCAAGGCGACGACGGGUAGCCGGCCUGAGAGGGCGACCGGCCACACUGGGACUGAGACACGGCCCAGACUCCUACGGGAGGCAGCAGUGGGGAAUCUUGCGCAAGUGGGCGAAAGCCUGACGCAGCGACGCCGCGUGAGGGAUGACGGCCU